GCGAGAGAAUCAGAUAUUGGGGAUAUUGUUGUGAAGAAUAUGAGGUCCUUACAGAAGAUGGCUAUUACCUAAGUGUGAACAGAAUUCUGGGAGGCAAUAAGUCUGCUAUAUUAUUAAUGCAUGGACUACUUAUGGAAGGUAGUGUGUGGAUAUCAAAUUUACCCCACCAGAGCCUGGGCUUCAUACUAGCAGAUGGUGGGUAUGAUGUAUGGAUUGGAAAUGUCAGAGGAAACUCCUGGUCUAGAAGUCACAAGCAUCUUUCAAUUAAUGAAACAGAAUUUUGGAAUUUUAGUUUCCAUGAAAUGGGCAUUUAUGAUCUUACUGCCAUGACAGAGUUUAUUCUACAGAAAAC